UACGGAGGGGGCUAGCGUUGUUCGGAAUUACUGGGCGUAAAGCGCACGUAGGCGGCUUUGCAAGUUAGAGGUGAAAGCCCGGGGCUCAACUCCGGAAUUGCCUUUAAAACUGCAUCGCUAGAAUUGUGGAGAGGUAAGUUGGAAUUCCGAGUGUAGAGGUGAAAUUCGUAGAUAUUCGGAGGAACACCAGUGGCGAAGGCGGCUCACUGGCUCGGUACUGACGCUGAGGCACGAAAGCGUGGGGAGCGAACAGG
rnacentral:rRNA from 1 species